CACACACACCUUCCAUUUGACCACAGCACUAAUGACUUCUGUUCAGAAGCUCAGAAACCGCAAACUGACACGAGUCAACAUGUUCACAACAGGCUGCUGCACAGUGACACACACACACACACACACACACACACACACACUGCUGCUUCAAAUAUAUAUUCCACUGUAUAACUCAUCAAUAUCUUGGACGAAGGUCAGAGAAUAGGUUAGUUAAAGGACCAGUACGUAAAGUUGCAGGUUUACUUAUUAAAGUUUGUGAUUGUCAGAGUCUGACGUCACAUCGUCGCUGCUCUUUUGUGUUUUCACGCGUGUUUGACGCCAUUUUGAAAUGUUCUAUCUCAAAUGCAAAUCUAGAUGUCGGUGAUGAUGCUGAAGUAUGUGAAACAAAAGGAGAAGAAGAUGAAGAGGAAGACGAUGCUGGGGACCAAACUGUGACCUGAACUUAUGGAGGGAACUCAGGGCCGUCCACAUACUUUUGGCCGCACUGUCGUGAGUUCUGCACAAACCGCCUGCAGUCCACGUGUUCGCCACACGAGGGCGGUGCCAACGGAGGAGAUCAUGCAGCAGCUUGUCACAGACGUGCUCCCUAACGCUCAUCCAGCCGCUCAUUGUCUGAUCUGGAGGUGGCGAGGAGGAGGCGGCAGGUCGCAGCAGGUUCCUGCCCCGCCCACAUUUCUCCUGAGCGACCUCACUGACUCGACCUCUGACGAUGACGACGAGCAGCGUUCUACUGGGUUCACACACAAAGUGAAGAGAUAAACAAGAGAGACGGUGAAAGAUUUUACAGAAGGAAACAUCAAAGACUUUUAGCUUUAUGUUUCUGUCCUGUUCACACACACACACACACACACACACACACACACACACACACACACACACACCUCGCUCGGUGCUGCAGAACAUUAUCCUCCGGCUGCAGGCUAAAGGCUUAGCCGCAUACCGGCAGGCCCAUGGACCUGAGAUUAACUACGAGCAGGCUCCACCUGAGGGAAACACACACACACACACACACACACACA